rnacentral:lncRNA from 1 species
AAUAUAAAUUAUAAUAUUAAUAUAUGUAAUAUGAUAAUUAUUAUAUAUUAAUAAUAUAUAAUAUAUAAAAUAAAAAAAUAUAUAUAAUAAUUUUUUAUUUAUAACUAACUUUUUCCUUCUUUUCCUUUCUUUUCCUUUCAACCAAACAACCGUAACGAAAAACUACUUUUUUUUCCUACAAACCAAAUGCUAAAAGCGUAAAAUUUAUUUUCCUCCGAAAAUUUUUUUUUUCACCGAAAAUUUUUUUUCCGCAGUUUUACGUCAAACCAAGCAGCCCCUUAGUGAAAUACCUGAGUACCAGGUAUAU